CACGCCGUAAACGUUGAGAACUAAGUGUUGGGGAGACCCAGUGCUGAAGCUAACGCAUUAAGUUCUCCGCCUGAGGAGUACGCACGCAAGUGUAAAACUCAAAGGAAUUGACGGGGGCCCGCACAAGCAGUGGAGCAUGUGGUUUAAUUCGAGGCUACGCGAAGAACCUUACCAGGGCUUGACAGGAAACUUAAGACCCUAGAGAUAGGGGGAUAAUAAGUGAAACAGGUGG
rnacentral:rRNA from 1 species